UACGUAGGCAGCAAGCGUUUGUUCGGAGUUACUGGGCGUAAAGGGUGCGUAGGCGGUUGUUUAAGUUUGGUGUGAAAUCUCCCGGCUCAACUGGGGAGGGUGCGCCGAAUACUGAAUGACUAGAGUGCGGGGAGAGGAUAGUGGAAUUCCUGGUGUAGCGGUGAAAUGCGUAGAUAUCAGGAGGAACACCGGUGGUGUAGACGGCUAUCUGG
rnacentral:rRNA from 1 species